AUAACCUUUAAUUGAGUCCAGAGAGGCGAGAAAGGUUCGUGAAAAAAAGAAGAUAUAAUCUUUGAUAAUGGGGUGUUUGCUACCCUGCUUUUCGUGUAACCUCGCCCUCGGGCGGGGUUUUCUUUAU
rnacentral:misc_RNA from 1 species